rnacentral:tRNA from 1 species
GCCCGGGUGGUGGAAUUGGUAGACACGCAGGACUUAAAAUCCUGUGACUAUUGCGGUCGUGCGGGUUCAAGUCCCGCCCCGGGUA